AACGCUCAGUUAUAUAGCUUUAUACAUAGGUGUAUGCCUACUACCCGAAAUGCGAAGGAUAUCACGUGGCUACGCUGAGCGUUCGUAGGACCUCACCGAGACUCCCCUCUUUUCUUCCAGAGCCAAAGUAUUCGACGUUAAUUGGGACGGAGAUUGUUUUCGGAUUGAUCUCGUAUUAUUCAAACCUCAGAAUCAAAAAGCGCGUCUUCAAUUAUCAGGACAUCGAUUUGAUGGUUCACAUAUUUUCAAAAUAAAUCCGGCAAUCAAACCGAACCGGCUGACUCGAUUAUCCCACAAAUGUAGCACUGAAUUCUCGGAUGGGGGGGAAAGGAGAAAAAUCGUUUGGGUGUUGGGCAUUAAAGCAGGAAAUGGUCAGAGAUCGGUAACUAUUAGAGUGCACAGCGGUUAUCCAACCGGUGAUAAUCAACAGAAUUGCCGAAAUGUGGUCCGUUUGAGAGGGAUCAAUGAAUUUGGCACGUCAUUCCUAAAAUCUGUUUGUUGUUGGACGUAGGUUCGAAAAAAUCGUCCAUCAUAAGCAAAUAUGACAAGCGGGCAGCGCCCUCUACAAAAGAUCGGUACCGUGAAAAAUUUCCAAUAGCUGACGUUGCAGAAUCGGACCUUGUACAUACCGAUGCGCCUCUGCGGCAUAAUAAAAAUCUUUACAUCUCUUUGCUACGGCGCGCUAGAUUGUCAAUGACGUGUAUUAUUCUGCUCAAACGGUCAGUUCAGAUCGAUUGAAUAUUUUUUUGCCAACACAGACGACACGAUCAUCUCUGCCUGAUCUCGAAAGCUUGACGCGUAUUUACCAGUCCCCGUAAGUCGCCGUCUGCUUCGCUGCGCGGUACUUUUUCCACAAGUUUGUUUGUUUGUUUUUUUUUUUUUUUUCUUCUUCUACUUUUUUCUAGCGAAAAUUUAUAGAACGAUCUUUGCGCAACGAAGCUGCACACUUAUACGCGAAAACCUCUAAUGUCCGACACGUUCGCACCUACACAAGUACAACACGAGCUCGUCGCAAUUUAAUGAGUGAAUAAAUUCAGAACGAGUUAUAUGACGCGUUAUGGAAAAUCUUAACCAGCCGUGCAACACCUAAGUCGUUGUCAUUUCGGUAUCGCUCUAUUAUUCGUUCACGAUUAGUAAAAUAACGAUUUAUAAAUAAGCACGCAAUGUUCAUCGGAGCGUUUCGUAUGUUUAGAGUCUGUUUGACUUGAGGAAACAAUUUUUUCUCUUUAUUAAGUGCUAUUUUUGACUCACGGGUGCAGGAGUUACUGACCCUUGGGCAGUCCGCGACAUGGCAGCGUCCGCCUAUUUUUAACCUGGCGAAAAAUGCAUCGCUUCCUUCCAAAGCGCGGUAUAUAGAAAAAACCAGCUUCUUUGUCCGUCCCGAUCGCUUGCCAGUUGAUCCGUGUUACGAGCAGUCCAACUUCUGAUUCGUUGAUCCAUCUUCUCGAAAGCAUCAGACUGUCCUGCAGAAGAAUUCUAUCUAGCGUUGGCCGAAUUCGGAGAAUCUACUCGAAUCACCCCGGCAAUUGAGUGUCAGCAGGAGUCGGGAGGAAGUCGGGACGUCGACAGUCGGGAGUCUAUUGCCCAAUCUCAACGAAGAUCUUUUCUUCUUAUUUCACCUUUGCUAAUUCUCUUCAAUUUCGUUUGUCGAACGACCUCGAUUGAUUUUCGCCUGGACCGAUGAAAUAAUUUUAACGAUCGAUUUUCACCUGUUACACACGGAAAAGGACUUCGUGAUUAUUUUCCACGGAUCUUUUUGCGUAACUGUAAAGGAUCCUAAGCCUGCUUCUACCUAUCCUGGAUCUUAGAUGACCCAGGAUGGACUCAGGUAGAAAAAUCGAAAUUCAUAAAAAAAAAAGAAGAAGAGGACUAUAUGAGCGCAUCUUAGCGCAGACCAGCUGACCAACCGUGGGAAGAGGUGAUUGUGUUUUUUCUUCCUAUGGCUCCUCUUUUUUUUUCUCCAUCUUCAAGGGAUUUGAGAAAAUUGCUUUUAAAUUGGCGAACCCCUACUGGAUAUAUCUACCGUGGACAGGUAUCAAUCUGUUGGUUAUUUCCGGGAACCUUGAAGUUGGACCGCUACAUUUUUUAUUAAUCCGAAGAACGGGCGAAAAUAAAAAAUUUGUCAAAUGACUCGCGAGUACAUAACUGCAGAUAUGGCUUUAAUUAGAAACCUGCUAAUUCAAAGUCCAAAACACACAAUACGUCGGGAUAAUUAAAAACAGCGUCGUAACAAUUUGACGUCAGGUGGUUUCCCUCAGGUGAACACGACUAAUUAUUAUGAAAUUAAUUAACGUCUCUUCUGUAAAACAAAUGAAAUUGAAUUUAAAAACGAAAAAAAACGAAACUAACAAUACGUAUAUACUUGGCAAAAUAUUCUCUGAUGUUAUGAAAUUUUACUAUCCAAUACUAUAUGAAAGGUACACCAUUUGUCUUCUGAGGACCCGUAAAAAACUUGACGAAAUGAAAGUUCAAUCACCGUGUAAUUACAUUCAUAUAUUUGUCGUGGGAAAUGAUGUGUGAGUAAUUAGACAUCAGUGUUUUACGUUGAUGUAUAUAUAUAUAUAUAUACAUAUAUAUAUAUUCUUCUGACGAA